AGUAUUAUGUCUGAUUUAAGUAAUAAAUUGUAAAUUUAUUUAAGAAGUUUAUAAUUUCUAAUACUA
rnacentral:tRNA from 1 species